GUGAUUCGGCUUGGGGGCGAUUCGGGAGGAAGAAGGGCGGUGGGGACUUGCUAGUGGCAGAUCUGGGCCAAAUAGAUCGGCAAGUGUUGGUGCGGCUGUAGCAGAUUUAGGCCUCCAGGAUUGACGAGUAAACAUCCCUUGCCCUGCUCAUGCGUGAGGAUGCAGAUGUAUAUAGUAAUCAGGUCUGCAACUUCCGCAUCGCGAUUUAAACCAAGGGAAAGAAAAUCUGUACACCCAAUAUUCUUACAGAUGAAUGAAUGCUAAAGGAUCACGGAAGGCAGGAAGGUGGCAGGGUUCUCGGACAUCCAUGGGGACAUCACUAAUGGCCACUGGCAGACCAUGAGGUGGUAGAU